rnacentral:rRNA from 1 species
UGGGAAUUUUGGACAAUGGGCGAAAGCCUGAUCCAGCAAUGCCGCGUGUGUGAAGAAGGCCUUCGGGUUGUAAAGCACUUUUGUCCGGAAAGAAAUCCUUGGCUCUAAUACAGUCGGGGGAUGACGGUACCGGAAGAAUAAGCACCGGCUAACUACGUGCCAGCAGCCGCGGUAAUACGUAGGGUGCAAGCGUUAAUCGGAAUUACUGGGCGUAAAGCGUGCGCAGGCGGUUUGCUAAGACCGAAUGUGAAAUCCCCGGGCUCAACCUGGGAACUGCAUUGGUGACUGGCAGGCUAGAGUAUGGCAGAGGGGGUAGAAUUCCACGUGUAGCAGUGAAAUGCGUAGAGAUGUGGAGGAAUACCGAUGGCGAAGGCAGCCCCCUGGG